AAAACUCUCUGCGAUCAGUUGAGAAAUCCCAUCUCCAAUCGAAGAACAUCAAGUAGCAGUGGUCAUCGACGGCUUAGGGGUCGAGCAUGUUAAACGUUCCUUCCUCACUUUUCUUUAACCUCAGGUAGUCAAUUGACAAGACGAUACUCACUUCUCUAUCUGAUAUCUGCGAUUAGACGGCCGAUUUGCCAGUAACUUUUUCUCUGCUGUCAUUUGCGCUAUUGCAGACCAUGUUGAAUUCGUGCGCACCAAAUCAAAUUGUCAUUGCGACGUUUCGCGGUGUGUUUCUCUGUUCAUGUUUCUCACUGAUUCUUUUCUCCUUAUUUUUCAGUAUGGGGGUGUGGUCUGAAAGCAGGGGGAAGUCAUGUGACCUAAAUCGGUUAUUUAAGUUAUAGAGAAUCACCUGAUUCUGAGAGACUUUAGGCUCGAUGAUUCCCUUGUUGGGGCUCCGCAUGAAUCUGAUGGCCAAGCAACUGGAGAAACAGAAGAUGGCGCAGGUUUACAGCGUUGUAAAACCGACCACGUCAUUGGGAGUUUACCUUUUAGAGUGGCCCGACAGCUGAUGGUUAUGCUCAAUCUACCUCUGACAUGAAAAGGCGAUUUUCGCAAUCUCUCCUGCGAAAUGGGCUAUAAGUGGAGCGAGAUCAUAUACUUUCAGUCCCUCCAGAAUCCAAUGGACCCUAUUCUGAGGGGCUGUAUGAAUAUUCCCAUCGAACAACUCAUGAUAAAAUUUGAAAAGCCUUGAUUGGAUUACCGGAUGCAAGGAGUGUGGUCGAGGAGUAUAUCACAGAAAGUUGCAAAUGUGCCAAAUGUAAGAACUAAGUUCAAGCUACAGAAUUAGAAAUUACUUAGCUAGAAUAUAACCUGGUCGAGUUUUUUCAAAGAAAAUAUGUAACGUACAAGAUAAGUUUCACUUUAUCAUAGUGUUAUAUAUAGUUUAGAUUACGAAUGUGUUUUUGAGGUUCUUGUAAAUCUAUACACUCGUCACUCACUUGUGACUGUUUUCUGAUUGUGGAGACCUCACUAAUUUCAAGCCUUUCGUCCUUCGGUUUGUUUUUCCCACUGUCUUCUGUGCCUUAUCCGUCGUGGAUACAGCACAGGUGAGGAGUAUGCUAACUUCCGAGCAUAGAAAAUAGAAACAAGGGAACAUUUAAGCAUGUACAUUUUUGGUAAUUGGUAAAGAAAAUUUUGUACAAG